rnacentral:rRNA from 1 species
CCUACGGGGGGCUGCAGUGGGGAAUAUUGGACAAUGGGCGAAAGCCUGAUCCAGCCAUGCCGCGUGUGUGAAGAAGGCCUUCGGGUUGUAAAGCACUUUCAGUGGGGAAGAAAGCCUUGGGGCUAAUACCCUCGAGGAAGGACAUCACCCACAGAAGAAGCACCGGCUAACUCCGUGCCAGCAGCCGCGGUAAUACGGAGGGUGCGAGCGUUAAUCGGAAUUACUGGGCGUAAAGCGCGCGUAGGCGGUCUGAUAAGCCGGUUGUGAAAGCCCCGGGCUCAACCUGGGAACGGCAUCCGGAACUGGCAGGCUAGAGUGCAGGAGAGGAAGGUAGAAUUCCCGGUGUAGCGGUGAAAUGCGUAGAGAUCGGGAGGAAUACCAGUGGCGAAGGCGGCCUUCUGGACUGACACUGACGCUGAGGUGCGAAAGCGUGGGUAGCAAACAGGAUUAGAUACCCUGGUAGUC